UCUUCUUUCUCUCUCUUCUUUACUCUCCCACCAACCAACUAACAUUAAUGAGGGAAAAGGCAAUUAAUGUCUUCCCUUUUAUACUUGAGCCCCAAAAUAUCUUCUAAAUCUUAGGUGGGCUAUCUCAGGUGGGCUAAAACUUAAGUGGACUAUCUCAGGUGGAUUAAAUCUCAGGUGAGUAUAUCUCGGGUGAGUAUAUCUCAGGUGAAUAUAUCUCAGGUGGGUAUAUCUCAAGUGGAUAUAUCUCAGGUGGGUUAAAUCUCAAGUGGGUAUAUCUCAGGUGGGCUAAAUCUUAGGUGGACUUCAAUGAGAAUAAACUUUCACAUAAUAUUAGAUUACUUUGGCACCCACGAAUAUAAGUAUGUACCUUUAUUUUUUGUAUAUGGCCUUGUGGUGCGUGUACGUAUUACACUUGGUACCCACUCAAUCGUGUCAGGCCAACCCGAGUUCAAGGUCACCCUUUCUAUCAUAUUCCAUAUGAUACCUGUGUUAGUUCUCUCUGGCUCAACCCCUAUAUGAUCAAAUCAAGUCAAUGCAAUUAAUUAGACCGGGUUUAGAAAGUAGGGUAUCACAGUUGGUCCCUACCCUCACCCCUAUAUAUAGUUAUCACUGACUCAUUAAGUAAGGCUAAUGACCUAAAGCAAAAGGGGAAGAUGGUAGACCAGACUAAUAUGAAUCGUGUUGUACAAGGACCGUACGAGAAGCCAUUGAGGAGUUUUUAUUCUUUAGCCAUGGAUUUAGGUAUGCCUAAAACUUAUCUUUAUAGUGUUUAUCGUGCAUGCUCAUCGAUCUCUAUAAAUCAUUGCUCAUCAAUCUCCAUAAAUCAUUUUCGUAUUUAUUUUCUAUCAAUGGUGUCAGAGCCUCAUUCAUAGAGAUUGAUAUGUUGUAUACAUGUACAUUUUUUUUUUGUAUUGUUCUGAAUCCAAAAGCCACGGCUGCUAUCCACCUCACUGGAAUGUCAUUCUGAUAUGAUUUAUUUUGAUUUGGCUAUUAACGUCAUGAUUUGGAUUUAACAGUAACUAUUUUUUUUAAUCAUCUAGAUCCGGUUAAGGCUAUCGGGAUCGGCUGCCCUAUGCAGCGGCAGUUUCCAGUAUCAAAACCAUUUUUUCCUUAGUAGAUUUCUCUUUUAUCUUCUAUAUUACAUAUAUUAUUAUGGGAAAAGGACAGACAUGCUAGCAGGAUACCCAGGUAUCAAGUAUGCUAGCAUGUCUGGAUCUUUGGAUUAGUGCAAAAUCUACACUGUUGGCUACCUAACCUACCCAUCCCCGACGCUGAAACUGAUCUAUUGUAGAAAAAGAAAAGUUUGGAAAAUGGUUGCCAUCUCCGUCACCGUCAUCGGUGUUUCCUUCAGCUGCAAUUGUUGUUGCUCCCAUUGCACUACAACUGCAAUUGCCAACGAGACUAGUUCCCCACUAAAAUCGAGGGUGUGCCUUCAGAAAUCUUGGAUCCAAUAAACAAUUGGUCAGACAAGAAGACAUUCUAUUGAAGCUUGCAGGUCUAUUCAAGAAAAACUUUGAGGGAUUUGUGAAUUACAAGAUUGGCAAGGAGAACUCGUUGACGGAGCAGAUCCUUGAGGCUGGUCCCAUCUUCUGAUCUGAGUGAAUGGAAGAAAGAUGAAGUUGAAAUGGGUUUGAUGGAGUGGGAAAAUAAAAAACUAAGUUAUGUAAUAGAAGUUAGUGAUCCAUUGCAGUGACCCCGCGAGAGCAAAGAAAUGGUUGGCCCACCAUGGCGAUCAGUCCCACUUCAAAUUGAUAUAAUUGAAUUAUGGAGACGAUCGGUAUACAGUAAUGUCGUAGCUAUUAUUAGGUGAAUAGGAAGGCUUUUCGCGGAUCUUCCACCCUUGUCUAUGGGAUUCCGGCUAAGUUUCUCCCAACACCCCAAUUUGAGCAGUCAUAGGAUCCCUAACCCUAACAUCCUCAUAUUUUUUUCUCCAUCUCUCUCUCAAUCUGUUCUGGUAAACUUUUUUUUUCUUUGUAACAGAUCAGUUGCAGUGCGAUGCUGGAAGAGGGGAGAGAAAGAGGGGAAGAAGAUGAAUGGCUCGAUCAUGAGGUCGUCGAUCUCGCCGAUGACAGUGAUAGAGAUGGAGAUAAAUUAUUUUUCUUUUUGCAAUAGAUCAGUUGCAGUGCCGUGCGAGAAGAGGGGAGAGAAAGAGGGGACCAUAAGGCUAUCGAUCUCGCCGAUGAGAGUGACGGAGAUGGAGAUAAUUUUUUUUUUCUGCAAUAGAUUAGUUGCAACGCCGUGCGGGAAGAGGGGAGAGAAAGAGGGGAAGAAGAGUGAAUGUCUCGACCAUGAGGCUGUUGAUCUCGUAGUUGAUAGUGACGGAGAUAGUGAUGGAGAAGAAGAGUGCCGGUAGAAUGUCAGGGUUAGGUAGGUUAGGUAAGACAACAAGUACUCAAUGGUGUAAAUUUGACUCUUUUAAUCCAAUGGUCAAGGCUUGCUAGCAUAGCUGAUACUUGGGUAUCUUGCUAGCAUGCCUAUCUCUCUCCCAUAUAUUAUAUUAAAAAAAGCCAAAAGUUAGAAAGUUGUUCCAAGAGAAGAGCAAAAAAGAAAAAAGUUACAAAGUUACAAAA